GUCUUUUUGUAUAACUAAUCUCAAAUGUUAUUUGGAGUGAGAAAGAGUUUAAACAAAUAUCACUAAUGACCCUAACUUCACUUUCUUGUGAGGUGUGGCAGCCCCUGGACCCUGAUUCCCUGUGGGCAACUGGAUGCGCUGGAGCUUCUGGUCCUACAGAGCUGGGAUUAACCCAGCUCUUUUGAUAUGUUGCUCAGGGUUCUUGGUUCCACAAUCAGACUAACUCAAGCUGUAAGCAGAAAACAAAUUUAUUGAAAGGAGGUCAAAUAGUUUACAAGAGAGCUAAGAAUGCUGGUGAAUGAGGCCUGGUGUAUGGGAAAAAAACACAGGAAGCAAAAUAGACCCAAGAUGGCAUGUGAAGUCUGUUUAAGAGGCUACCAUUGGCAUUGUCACCAUGACCACUAGCUAUGAUUUCACCAGCCACACCUGACUCUACCCUCCAUCAGAGGCACCAACCUUAAUCUCUAAAGGUUCACUGGAAAUUUGCAUUACUCAGUGAAGAAUCAAAUCCUAGCCAGAUGUUCCUAGUGGCCUGAGCUUCCGGGGAAGGAAAUGUCUAACCCUUUGGGCUUGGGCUUUCUUUAUUGGUAUUUCCUGAAAUAGGAGGGCAGGGCAGGCAAAAUAGUCAAAAGUCCAUUUCACUUGGUGACCCUGUGAGGCUCUACCAGAGCAGCCAGCCAACUCAUGUCCCUGUUUAUUGUCACCUCUUUUUUCUUUUUCUUUUUUUUCUUGAGACACUUGUUGCCCAGACUGGAGUACAGUGAGCCAAUAUCGCACCACUGCACUCCAGCCUGGGCGACAGAGUGUGAAACUCUGUCUCAAAAAAAAAAAAAAAAAAAUUCGCCAGUUCUUUUCUCUGCCCUAUUGAACCAUAUAUGCCAGAGAAAGAGCCCCCAAACUGUGUUUUUUAAAUGCUGCAGGUAAUCAUUUUCAUCUGGAAGUUCUGGGAAAAUUGUUCUAAGCCAACCUGUGAUCUCAGCAAAUAAAACACUAAACAAAUACCAAAUAUAAAAAAGAAAAAA
rnacentral:lncRNA from 1 species